rnacentral:misc_RNA from 1 species
AACGCAAAUUGCACUCCCUGGUAUUCCGGGGAGUAUGCCUGUUUGAGGGUCGUUAGAAUAAAAAUCGAGGCGUCGCUCUUUUUUUUAGGGUGAUCGCGUCGGAAUUGAGCCGUCUUUCAAAUGUUAAUUCAUGUUAAAGUGGCUUAAAAUUCAUCCAUCCGGUACGAUUAAAGCGUAUUUAAGAUCAAUUUUGAUUAAGAACGCGCGAUGACGUACCAUCUCAUGUAGUACGUUUGACCUGGCGUCGUCAGGAUCAUUCGUAUACGAUACUCAACUUUUGACCUCAAAUCAGGUAAGAAUACCCGCUGAACUUAA